CAGCUAGUUGGUAGGGUAAAGGCCUACCAAGGCAUCGAUCAGUAGCUGGUCUGAGAGGACGACCGGCCACACUGGAACUGAGACACGGUCCAGACUCCUACGGGAGGCAGCAGUGGGGAAUUUUGGACAAUGGGCGCAAGCCUGAUCCAGCAAUGCCGCGUGAGUGAAGAAGGCCUUCGGGUUGUAAAGCUCUUUUGUCAGGGAAGAAACGGGUGGGGCUAAUAUCUCCAUCUAAUGACGGUACCUGAAGAAUAAGCACCGGCUAACUACGUGCCAGCAGCCGCGGUAAUACGUAGGGUGCAAGCGUUAAUCGGAAUUACUGGGCGUAAAGCGUGCGCAGGCGGUUUUGUAAGUCUGUCGUGAAAUCCCCGGGCUCCACCUGGGAAUGGCG
rnacentral:rRNA from 1 species